UACGUAGGGGGCAAGCGUUAUCCGGAUUUACUGGGUGUAAAGGGAGCGUAGACGGCAGAGCAAGUCUGAAGUGAAAGCCCGCGGCCCAACUGCGGGACUGCUUUGGAAACUGCCCGGCUAGAGUGCUGGAGAGGUAAGCGGAAUUCCUAGUGUAGCGGUGAAAUGCGUAGAUAUUAGGAGGAACACCAGUGGCGAAGGCGGCUUACUGGACAGUAACUGACGUUGAGGCCCGAAAGCGUGGGGAGCAAACAGG
rnacentral:rRNA from 1 species